GAUGAACGCUGGCGGCGUGCCUAACACAUGCAAGUCGAGCGGAGUUUAACUGAAAGGUCUUAGGACCGGAAGGAUAAACUUAGCGGCGGACGGGUGAGUAACACGUGAGCAACCUGCCUUUAGCUGGGGAAUAACACUGGGAAACCAGUGCUAAUACCGCAUAACAUCCAAGUGUGGCAUCACAUUUGGAUCAAAGGAGAAAUCCGGCAAAAGAUGGGCUCGCGUCCGAUUAGAUAGUUGGUAGGGUAAAGGCCUACCAAGUCAACGAUCGGUAGCCGGACUGAGAGGUUGACCGGCCACAUUGGGACUGAGACACGGCCCAGACUCCUACGGGAGGCAGCAGUGGGGAAUAUUGGGCAAUGGGGGAAACCCUGACCCAGCAACGCCGCGUGAAGGAAGAAGGUCUUCGGAUUGUAAACUUCUUUGAUCAGGGACGAAGAAAUGACUGUACCUGAAGAACAAGUCACCGGCUAACUACGUGCCAGCAGCCGCGGUUAAAACGUCUACUG
rnacentral:rRNA from 1 species